AUUGAACGCUGGCGGCAGGCCUAACACAUGCAAGUCGAACGGUAACAGGAAGCAGCUUGCUGCUUCGCUGACGAGUGGCGGACGGGUGAGUAAUGUCUGGGAAACUGCCUGAUGGAGGGGGAUAACUACUGGAAACGGUAGCUAAUACCGCAUAACGUCGCAAGACCAAAGAGGGGGACCUUCGGGCCUCUUGCCAUCAGAUGUGCCCAGAUGGGAUUAGCUUGUUGGUGGGGUAACGGCUCACCAAGGCGACGAUCCCUAGCUGGUCUGAGAGGAUGACCAGCCACACUGGAACUGAGACACGGUCCAGACUCCUACGGGAGGCANCAGUGGGGAAUAUUGCACAAUGGGCGCAAGCCUGAUGCAGCCAUGCCGCGUGUAUGAAGAAGGCCUUCGGGUUGUAAAGUACUUUCAGCGGGGAGGAAGGUGCUGUGGUUAAUAACCGCAGCAAUUGACGUUACCCGCAGAAGAAGCACCGGCUAACUCCGUGCCAGCAGCCGCGGUAAUACGGAGGGUGCAAGCGUNNAUCGGAAUUACUGGGCGUA
rnacentral:rRNA from 1 species